rnacentral:rRNA from 1 species
GAUGAACGCUGACAGAAUGCUUAACACAUGCAAGUCAACUUGAAUUUGGGUUUUUAACUUAGAUUUGGGUGGCGGACGGGUGAGUAACGCGUAAAGAACUUGCCUCACAGCUAGGGACAACAUUUAGAAAUGAAUGCUAAUACCUGAUAUUAUGAUUUUAAGGCAUCUUAGAAUUAUGAAAGCUAUAAGCACUGUGAGAGAGCUUUGCGUCCCAUUAGCUAGUUGGAGAGGUAACAGCUCACCAAGGCGAUGAUGGGUAGCCGGCCUGAGAGGGUGAACGGCCACAAGGGGACUGAGACACGGCCCUUACUCCUACGGGAGGCAGCAGUGGGGAAUAUUGGACAAUGGACCGAGAGUCUGAUCCAGCAAUUCUGUGUGCACGAUGAAGUUUUUCGGAAUGUAAAGUGCUCUCAGUUGGGAAGAAAAAAAUGACGGUACCAACAGAAGAAGUGACGGCUAAAUACGUGCCAGCAGCCGCGGUAAUACGUAUGUCACGAGCGUUAUCCGGAUUUAUUGGGCGUAAAGCGCGUCUAGGUGGUUAUGUAAGUCUGAUGUGAAAAUGCAGGGCUCAACUCUGUAUUGCGUUGGAAACUGUAUAACUAGAGUACUGGAGAGGUAAGCGGAACUACAAGUGUAGAGGUGAAAUUCGUAGAUAUUUGUAGGAAUGCCGAUGGGGAAGCCAGCUUACUGGACAGAUACUGACGCUAAGCGCGAAAGCGUGGGUAGCAAACAGG